UAGUCAACUAUCAAAUUUGAUAGUCAACUAUCAAGUUGAUAGUCAACUAUCAACUUGGUAGUCAACUACCAAAUACUCGAUUUUUAUAAAUAGACCAGCAGGCCGAAUAAUUUCGUAAGUCGGUGCGCAUCUCUCGAACAGUUAACAUCUUCGCUGAUAAUUAUUUUGGUAGUCCAACUACCAAAAACUACCAAAUUUUCAAAUCGCAAUGUCUGCUAUGAGCGAUCGGUUACCAGAUAACAAAUAAUAAUGAUUUGCCUG